CCGGCGCUCGCCAUGGCCGGCGAAUGAGCACCCCUUCUCGACCGGCCGCCCGUCGACGAUCAGGGAGGUUGAUUCACCGUCGUCGACUCGUUCACUUGGCCGCAAGCCGUCGUCGAGCAGCACCGACCGUCGAGCCCGUAGUAGUCGCUGAUAUCUUGGAAGAUGGAUGACCGUGAGUGGAUGUACACCGGCCGGGUAACUCGAGCUAGCAUGACCAAUGAAUGGAUUGAGAAGACUAACGAGUUCUUGGAAGGGGCAUGGGCGCAAGCUGAAGGGUCGAGAUUCAUGUGGUGUCCCUGCAAGAGUUGUGGAAACCAGAAACGAAAGACAAAGAAGGUCAUGGGCGAACAUCUUGUCAAUUAUGGAUUUACGCCAGAUUAUACCCGGUGGAUCUUUCACGGUGAAGCCCAUCGUAUGAGGGACGAGGUCGUGAGGCAAUGCAUCGAUGAAUGUGAUG